GAUGAAGAACGCAGCGAAAUGCGAUAAGUAAUGUGAAUUGCAGAAUUCAGUGAAUCAUCGAAUCUUUGAACGCACAUUGCGCCCGCCAGUAUUCUGGCGGGCAUGCCUGUCUGAGCGUCAUUUCAACCCUCAUGCCCCUAGGGCGUGGUGUUGGGGAUCGGCCAAAGCCCGCGAGGGACGGCCGGCCCCUAAAUCUAGUGGCGGACCCGUCGUGGCCUCCUCUGCGAAGUAGUGAUAUUCCGCAUCGGGGAGCGAUGAGCCCCUGCCGUUAUACCCCCAACUUUCCAAGGUUGACCUCAGAUCAGGUAGGAAUACCCGCUGAACUUAAGCAUAUCAAUAAGCGGAGGA
rnacentral:misc_RNA from 1 species